rnacentral:rRNA from 1 species
CAACCUGCCGUCUACUCUUGGCCAGCCUUCUGAAAGGAAGAUUAAUCCAGGAUGGCAUCAUGAGUUCACAUGUCCGCAUGAUUAAAGGUAUUUUCCGGUAGACGAUGGGGAUGCGUUCCAUUAGAUAGUAGGCGGGGUAACGGCCCACCUAGUCAACGAUGGAUAGGGGUUCUGAGAGGAAGGUCCCCCACAUUGGAACUGAGACACGGUCCAAACUCCUACGGGAGGCAGCAGUGAGGAAUAUUGGUCAAUGGGCGAUGGCCUGAACCAGCCAAGUAGCGUGAAGGAUGACUGCCCUAUGGGUUGUAAACUUCUUUUAUAAAGGAAUAAAGUCGGGUAUGCAUACCCGUUUGCAUGUACUUUAUGAAUAAGGAUCGGCUAACUCCGUGCCAGCAGCCGCGGUAAUACGGAGGAUCCGAGCGUUAUCCGGAUUUAUUGGGUUUAAAGGGAGCGUAGAUGGAUGUUUAAGUCAGUUGUGAAAGUUUGCGGCUCAACCGUAAAAUUGCAGUUGAUACUGGAUGUCUUGAGUGCAGUUGAGGCAGGCGGAAUUCGUGGUGUAGCGGUGAAAUGCUUAGAUAUCACGAAGAACUCCGAUUG